GCUCUUAUGGUCUAGUGGUAUGACGUGUCCUUCACACGGAUAAGGUCCCCAGUUCGAUCCUGGGUGGGAGCA